CACAGUAUCAAUAGUAGAGACCUUCAAAUUUCUAGGUUCUACUACCGUGUUUCUCCAACAAUACGCCCCCCCCAAUAGGAAGACCCAGCUUGUUUUCUAGGCAUAAAAUGAAAUUAAGCUCCUCUCCCCAAAUAUAGGCCUAUUUGAAAACAUGUAAAAUGGGGCGAAGGACUUGCCAUUAGGAGCGCCCCGCGGGCAGCCAUGCCUCGCCACCAGCAGCUCCUAACGGGCAAUCAUGGUGAAGUGCAGAGAGCUCCCUACUCCUGCCAAGCACCUUUG